GAUCAUGGCUCAGGAUGAACGCUAGCUACAGGCUUAACACAUGCAAGUCGAGGAGAAACGACAUCGAAAGCUUGCUUUUAGUAUGGGCGUCGACCGGCGCACGGGUGAGUAACGCGUAUCCAACCUGCCCACCACUUGGGGAUAACCUUGCGAAAGUAAGACUAAUACCCAAUGACAUCCCACGAAGACAUCUGAAUGGGAUUAAAGAUUUAUCGGUGAUGGAUGGGG
rnacentral:rRNA from 1 species